GCCAAGAUGGUGAAACGGUAGACACGAUGGACUCAAAAUCCAUUGUCCAGACGGACAUGAGGGUUCGACUCCCUCUCUUGGCA
rnacentral:tRNA from 1 species